GCACAAGCGGUGGAUGAUGUGGAUUAAUUCGAUGACAACGCGAAAACCUUACCUACCCUUGACAUGUCCGGAAUCCCGAAGAGAUUUGGGAGUGCUCGCAAGAGAACCGGAACACAGGUGCUGCAUGGCUGUCGUCAGCUCGUGUCGUGAGAUGUUGGGUUAAGUCCCGCAACGAGCGCAACCCUUGUCAUUAGUUGCCAUCAUUUGGUUGGGCACUCUAAUGAGACUGCCGGUGACAAACCGGAGGAAGGUGGGGAUGACGUCAAGUCCUCAUGGCCCUUAUGGGUAGGGCUUCACACGUCAUACAAUGGUCGGUACAGAGGGUUGCCAACCCGCGAGGGGGAGCUAAUCCCACAAAGCCGAUCGUAGUCCGGAUCGCAGUCUGCAACUCGACUGCGUGAAGUCGGAAUCGCUAGUAAUCGUGGAUCAGAAUGUCACGGUGAAUACGUUCCCGGGUCUU
rnacentral:rRNA from 1 species